rnacentral:rRNA from 1 species
GGCGUGCUUAACACAUGCAAGUCGAACGGAAAGGCCCCUUUGGGGGUACUCGAGUGGCGAACGGGUGAGUAACACGUGAGUAACCUGCCCUUGACUUCGGGAUAACUUCAGGAAACUGGGGCUAAUACCGGAUAGGAAUCCUUGCUGCAUGGUGGGGGUUGGAAAGCUUCGGCGGUUUUGGAUGGACUCGCGGCUUAUCAGCUUGUUGGUGGGGUAGUGGCUUACCAAGGCUUUGACGGGUAGCCGGCCUGAGAGGGCGACCGGCCACAUUGGGACUGAGAUACGGCCCAGACUCCUACGGGAGGCAGCAGUGGGGAAUAUUGCACAAUGGGCGGAAGCCUGAUGCAGCAACGCCGCGUGCGGGAUGACGGCCUUCGGGUUGUAAACCGCUUUCAGCAGGGGCGAAGCUUGUGGUGACGGUACCUGCAGAAGAAGCACCGGCUAACUACGUGCCAGCAGCCGCGGUGAUACGUAGGGUGCGAGCGUUGUCCGGAUUUAUUGGGCGUAAAGAGCUCGUAGGUGGUUGAUUGCGUCGGAAGUGAAAACUUGGGGCUUAACCCUGAGCGUGCUUUCGAUACGGGUUGACUUGAGGAAGGUAGGGGAGAAUGGAAUUCCUGGUGGAGCGGUGGAAUGCGCAGAUAUCAGGAGGAACACCAGUGGCGAAGGCGGUUCUCUGGACCUUUCCUGACGCUGAGGAGCGAAAGCGUGGGGAGCGAACAGGCUUAGAUACCCUGGUAGUCCACGCUGUAAACGGUGGGUACUAGGUGUGGGGUCCAUUCCACGGAUUCCGUGCCGUAGCUAACGCAUUAAGUACCCCGCCUGGGGGAGUA